UACAGAGGGCUCAAGCGUUGUUCGGAUUCAUUGGGCGUAAAGGGUGCGUAGGCGGCGCCGUAAGUCGGGUGUGAAAUUUCGGAGCUUAACUCCGAAACUGCAUUCGAUACUGCGGUGCUUGAGGACUGGAGAGGAGACUGGAAUUCAUGGUGUAGCAGUGAAAUGCGUAGAGAUCAUGAGGAAGACCAGUGGCGAAGGCGGGUCUCUGGACAGUUCCUGACACUGAGACACGAAGGCCAGGGGAGCAAACAGG
rnacentral:rRNA from 1 species